GUUCGCCGGACGGCCUUUUGACAUAAUUGACGGUUGUUUUUACUUAGCUAUUGGGUGUAGUUGUUGUUCAUUUAAUAAAGAUUUUUGAUAUUAUAAACGAAUUGUUCAUAUUUUAUGCCCGAAGUUAACACAAAUGGCAGUACAGCAGAUCAUUCAAUACAUGCUGAGACAUGAAUUCACAUUUCUACCACUAUGCUAAAUAUCAAUAUCCUACGUUGAAAAUGUACUAGACGAUACUGCUAAUAAUAAUGGUUUUGUGCAACGUGCGUGUAAUGGAUGGCAGUAUAGCAGAUCAUUCAAUACAUGCUGACACAUGAAUUCACAUUUCUACCACUACGCUAAAUAUCAACAUCCUACGUUGAAAAUGUACUAGAC